UUCUAUCUUCCUUUAAAUUAAAGAUGCUACUCAAAUCUUGAUCACAUAUGUCGCAGAUAAGUAAUGCAUGGAUGAAUACUUUUUUCAUCACAUUAACUGAUCUAGAUGUGUGAAUGUAUUCUGCAAAUGAGUAGCAUUAAUUCUUCGCCACUUGCAGUCUCUGCAGAUGAAUAUUGUUCUUACACCGAGAAGUGUAUUGCAAUGACCAUGGUCGGAUGAAUUUACUAGACCAGCUGAUAUUUUCAAGGUAGAAGUAAAUGGGAAAUUAAUAUAUGUAGCCCGAGGUGAUCAUGUUGCAAUCCCAAGGUGGUGGCAAUGGAGUUGGGUGUUUGAGCUUGGAUCUGUUUGACUUGAUUCAGGUAUGUAUGGAAUUCAUUUUAAACCCAUCAGGAAGCACAUUAAUUGCAUCAGUAGAUAGAAUCAACUGAUCACCUGUUAAGGUCUCACAGGACACUUGUCCUAUUCCACUUAUUUUAGAACCCUGUUUCAGAGAUCAUGGUAUGAAGAAUGCCAUUUAUGUAGAAUGAUCAUGGACAAGAAAUGGAUCCGUGUGUGUACAUGGCAGACAAGGAUCAAUAUCAAGUCCAUUGCAUACCAAUGGGCAGCAUUUUCCAUUGCAUGGCAGCUGAUUUUUGUAAAUGAGAUUACAGAUAUGGGAAUGUUUCUGCACUUUAGAUUUGAUUUGUAUCAAGUAUCUUUGCAUCCCAUAGUGCAGGUAAAUGACAUGAGGUGGCAACACAAAACGAGUGGA